UACGGAGGGGACUAGCGUUGUUCGGAAUUACUGGGCGUAAAGCGCACGUAGGCGGAUUUGUAAGUUAGGGGUGAAAUCCCGGGGCUCAACCUCGGAACUGCCUUUGAUACUGCAAAUCUCGAGUCCGGAAGAGGUGAGUGGAAUUCCUAGUGUAGAGGUGAAAUUCGUAGAUAUUGGGAAGAACACCGGUGGCGAAGGCGGCUCACUGGCCCGUAACUGACGCUCAUGCACGACAGCGUGGGGAUCAAACAGG
rnacentral:rRNA from 1 species